rnacentral:lncRNA from 1 species
ACAUACAAACAAAAAGGAUGAGGCCAGUGAAUCUACAGCAAAUCAUCCUACAGUUCUGUGGGUGGAUUCAGUUGUAGGAGAGCCGCAGAAAUGUCUUUAAGCCAGAUUAUUUACUUCUCGAGGCUCACAUUGACUAUACAGUGUGGGCUUGUGGGUUUAGUUUCAUAAACAGUGUAGGUUUAGUGUCUACUCUCAUACAGAAGUCCUAAGCUGGGCAUGGGUGGAUAGAUUUGGGGGCGGGGGGGUUGAGCAAGAGUGAAUAAUUGUAUGUGUUUAUUAUACUAAGUGUAUCAGUCUAUGCUAGCAAUAUUUGAUACUCAACCACACUUUGGAAAAAACCAGAUCCCAUUAGUAGACUGAAUAAUUUAUCAGGUUAUACAACAGAGUUUAAUUGAUGUUUGCAUCGCUUGCCUAGAUGUUACAAUUAUUUAAUGCUUUUGUACCAUGCUGAUGUGGAGAAUAUUCUUACAGUUGGGGUUCGAUUUCAAAAGCCAGCUCCACGAGAAUUAAAUAGGCAUCCUGGAAAGGAGACAGUCUCACCAUUGUCCACCACAUCAAAGAUCCUUUCAGUACCAAAUACCUUUACUUUUGGAGACCUGGGCAAAAAGCAAAACACAGAUGCUAUGCAUAAAUGCCUGCAUGAAAAUAAAUGCAGAUGGAAGAAAAAUCCUAGCAUACAAAAUAACUAGCCACACAAUCCUAUGCACAUCUCAUCAGAAGAAAACUCCUUUGUAUCCAGUGAGGUUUUUGCAUCAGGUAAGUGAGCACAGACUUGCAGAUAGUGUUGAUUUACCCCCACCCCCAAGCUACUACUUGGCAAUUAUCAGAGACAGGCUUUGAAGCGCUUAAAUCUCUCUCCACUGAUAUCAGUGGGUCUUAAACUGUUCUUAAUUUUGGUUGGUUUGUGGCUGGCAUGUUCUAUCUAGUAGAUGCUGGGCGGGGGGGGGGGGAUACUAUAUUUUAAAAUGUGCAAUCAAUCCUCUUUUAUACUCCAUGUUUUUUUAACAAUAUCCUUGUUAGCUGAAGAGGCAGCUAGAGGAGCGAGAGCUGGAGUCAAACCACAUCCGGAAGGCCAUUGGUUAUUUCUUCCUGCAACAGAACCAUAAGUUUCAGCACUGCAUUCAAAUUCUUGAAUUAGACCAAGGUUGAAACAGUCCCAUUCACACUCUGUCACUCAUACACACUUUUUUUUUGUAGUUCUCAUAACUCAUCCUGCAGAGAUAAUCCUUACUAAUCCCUAAAUUAGUUUGGUAUUAGCAAGAUUUGGUACACUUUUGCUUAUGUCAGGCCUUAAAAUUAAUAGCAUAACAAGUAAAAUCUAUGUAAUUUAGGUAUCUUCAGGCUUUUCAGAUGCAAAUCAUUUUUAAACAUUUACUAUACAUUUGCAUGGUGGGUAGUGCUCCUGUUGUGACCCACUUUGGAUCAAGUCAUGACCCCCUAGUGGGUCCAGACCCACCAGCUUAAGAUCACUAAUGCAGUUGACGUAUGUCACAGGUAGAUCAACGUAAUUUGCAACAAAAUACUGGCCUACAAGCGGAAGAUUUCCCGCUGCUGCAUUGAAAGAGAUGGUCAAACACCUUCAAUUAGUUGUAAAUCUAAAGCAGCUCUAUACUAACAUCACACCAGGGCUGGAAAUACACCGCAGGUAUUCUGUCAGAAAAUCUGCCAUGCCCAAUGUCUACACAGCCAGGGAAGAGAAGAUAAAGGCACAAAUACAGAAAAUACAAAAAUGGCAGAAAAUGAAGGACACACUCACAGCUUCUUUGGAAAUGGUGCCAAUGCCCACCAAUCUGAGACUCUGUUGGUAAUGAUGCCCUCAACUCACAGACAUGAGCAUGCAAGCCCAAUGCCCUUGUUUGCAUCACCCCUCACACACAGCUCCCAAUGUUUCAGCUUAGAAUUGCUGCUGUCUGUGGAUCUCUCUGCUGUGCUCGUUGUUGUCUGAGGUUUUAAUGUAGUUGCUGUAAACCACCCUGGAUUUUUUUAAAAAAAUUAUCUUUAUUGAGUUUAUAAACAAAGAAAAUAAUAAGAAGAAAGAAAAUACAAAUAGCAAAGAAUUUCCCAUAAAGGAAAAAGGUAGAAUUUAAGUUUACAAACUGCUCCUAUCUGUGUUCCAAUUCAAUUAAUCGUUGCUACCUACAUAUAAUUUAAUAUGUCCAUAUACAAUGUAACAAACAGAAAUAAAAAGGAAUGUGAAUACUUCCGAUUAAGUCCAUAAUACUAUUCCUGCUGUAACCAUUAGAUCCAUAUACUGUCUUCCUACUUAUAUCCAUUAUUUAAUUUCAUCAUUGUUUUUUGUAUUAAUACCAUAUAUUGUUACUCAUUCUUCUAGCGUCAGAAAGCCUCUACUAUUGCAGUAUCCCUGGAGAUAUUCUCUCACCAUUUUCCACUCCUUGUCUACCUCCUUUUUUGAGGCUCCUCUCACUGGUUCCAUUUUUUUCGCUAACAUUAGAUAUUCUACCAUUUUAGCUUGCCAUUCUAUCUUGGUUGGAAUUUUAACUGAUGGAAGAGGGUUUUGAAAUGAAAUGAAUAAACAUGCUCCUUCAUGGUGCUUUUCACUUUCCACCAACAGUUCUGCCCUAUUUGGAUUGUUCUGAUGGACUAUAUUCAUGGAUGGAUCUGGUCCCCAUGAGCAUUUUCCUGCUGGCGUAUCAGGGAGCUCCGUUGGCCUAUGUGCCUAGCAUUCUGCUUACAUAAUAGGGAUUCUUCAAAAUCCCCGAACCCUUCAGCCUGCAUAACUCUAGAACAGGAUUGCUCCUUUAAUCUAACUUGAUUAGGCACAACGGUUGCCAUAAAAAAUGGUAAUACUCCCAAGGCUUUUUUCCUCCCAAUAUAUUUUUUGAAGAUUUUUUUUUUUAAUGGUAAAUGCUCACUGAAUUUUUUAUAUAUCCAGGGAAAGAGUCGAGAUUGAAUAAAACUGCUUUGUAAAGACACAGUAAAAGUGGAGCUUUGGGACUUUCUAGAUGGCAAUUUCACUUUAAUGCUUUUCAGUCAAACCAGCCAAUUUAUUUGCUUCAGAACUCCAAACGUCUGUAGUGGGUACCCACAGAAAUACACUUUCCAUCUUUGGGAGCUGUCCCUCUCUUCUUUUGAUAUCAGCUUUAUGCAACUUAGACGCAAUGACUGAUCCACCCAAUCUAACAUCCUGUGGUCUCCAGGAGAGCAUCCCUGGAACCACAGGAAGCACCAGAUAAGCACCUUAUGCCAGUGCUAGACCAAUGGUCCAUCUUGCUCAAUAUUGUCAGUACUAUCCAGUCAGUACUGGAAGUGGCUCUCCAGGGUUUCAGGCAGGGGACAAUCCCAGCCCUACCUGAAGUUAUCAGGGAUUGAACCUAGGUCCUUCUACAUGCACAGCAAAUGGUCUGCUAAAUGGGAAGCAGAAGGUGUCUAUAGGUCUGCUUGCCCCAGGCACUCUGGGUGGCUUCCAGCAUAUGUAAAAACAUAAUAAAACAUUAAACAUUAAAAACAUCUCUCUACAAGGCUGCCUUCAGAUGUCUUCUAAAAGUCUUAUAGUAGUUUAUCUGUUUGACAUCUGGCUGGCGGGCAUUCCACAGGGCAGGCUUCACUACUGAGAAGGCCCUCUGCCGGGCUCCCUGUGACCUCACUUCUCACAGUGAGGGAACUGCCAGGAGGCCCUUGGUGCUGGAUCUCUGUGUCCAGGCUGAAUGCUGUAGGCAGAGACGCUCCUUCAGGUAUACAGCACUGAGGCCAUUUAAGGCUUUAAAGGUUAGUACCAGCACUUUGAAUUGUGCUCGGAAAUGUACUGGGAGCCAAAGUAGGUCUUUCAGGACCAGUGUUAUAUAUGGUCCCAGCGGCCACUCCCAGUCACCAGUCUGUUCUGGAUUAGUUGUAGUCACCUUCAAAGGUAGCCCCACACAGUAGUAGCCCAAGUGGGAGAUAACCAAGGCAAAUUCAUCAGGCCCCCCAGUUCUAUUUUGAAUUCCGUAACUCACCUUCAACUGGAUGGGGUUCUUUUUCUUGUUUACAUUUUAUACUUGCUACUGCUGAUUUCUAUCUAUUUAUGGUUUGUAUAGUUGUUGUUGUUGUGUUGUUUUUCUUGUACGAGUUUAUCGUUCAUUUUAUAUGUAUCUUUAUAUUUAUUUUAUAUUUUGCCUUGGGCCAUAUUUAAUUGGAAAAGGCAGCUGAUAAAUGCCUAUGUUGAAAUUCCCUCCACUGCACAGUUAUUAAAGGAAAAAAUCUCUCUCCUUGGCUGCACCCAGUGACCCUCCAUAAAAUGCUUCCACUUGUUUACCCCCCAAGGUAUUAAUAUAUUGAUUUCACCUACCUGUAAAAAACAUUAUGGAUCUCCAGUUCUCCAAUCACUUCAGUGCAUGUUAUUUCCUGUGCGGACAAGGAUUUAUUGAAAUACCAGUUUGACUGCUCUUUCUGCUACAGAAGGAAUGCUUCACUCCAGAUGCUAUUCACUAUUUUUAGACACACCAGUGUGGGUGGGUUGGGGUGGCAGGAGAUUUUUCAGUGCUGAGCCAUUUCUUAAUAAUAUAUUGGGGUGGGGGCAGAGAGUUAAAUAAUUAAUAUUGAAUGAUAUUGUUCUCCUUUGUAAAUUUUAGAAAACAGAGUAGAAAAAAUAAUAAAGAGUGUAACUACAUUUUGGUAAUAUAUUUCAGAAGAUAACAUUUUUUUAUUAAAGAAGAACAACACACUAAAACCUACUGGGGCUAAUAUCUUGUUUAAUCUCAAUCUUUGUGUUACAUUUAUUUCAUUUAUUUCAAUUGGUACAGUUAUUUCAGUGGGUCUACUACUCUGAAUAUGAUUUACUCAGAUACUACCCACCAGUGGGGCAGAAUUCACCUAAUGAGUCCCAUCACUGGAAACCCGCAAAACAACUUCUGUUUGUGCCAUUGUGUUUUCCCCCUCCUCCUGAAGUGGGCACCCCCACCGCCUGAAAUUGCUUUGUGUCUGAGGGAAGGAAGAGGGAGGAUUGUUCCAUCUGGCAAGCUGAAAUGUGUGUGCUGACAAAAUGAUUGGCAUAUUGCACUGUUAAAUUCUUCCCACACUUUCAAGCAAAGCUUAUGUAUAGAAAUUAAGGACAUGUCCUUUCUAUAUGAAUAAUCUACUAGCUGAUGGGAUACAGCAAGGGAAGGGAACCUCAGGCCCAGGAGUCAAAUUCAGCUUCACUAUCCAGUCAUUGGGACACACUCUGCACCCUUCUCAAAUGCUUUUGCCUCACUAGAAUGUGACUAGAAUGCCUCUUGUCUGCCUGGGUAGAGGUGUGUGCACAGAAACCUACGAAUUUUGUGUGGUUGGAAUGUAGUCUACUAAGCAAAGUAAAAAAAAUUAUUGCCCCACCUACCUUUGCCUUUGGCCCCACCCACUAUUGGCAUGCAGCUCCCAGAAACUUCCUCUUGGCCUGAAAAAGGUUCCAAUUAUUAUUAGUAGUAGGAGUAGGAGUAGGAGUAGCAUUUCUCCCAAAGGAGUCAAGAGUGGCAAAUGUCUUAAAACAAUUCCACUACAGAUACAGAUUGGGAAAGAUCUAUACUCAAAAGGUUUACUGGAAGAGAAAGGUCAUCAGUAAGUGCCGAAAAUACAGUGGUACCUCGGAUUAAGAACUUAAUUCGUUCUGGAGGUCUGUUCUUAACCUGAAACUGUUCUUAACCUGAGGUACCACUUUAGGUAAUGGCCAAUGUCACCAUGCCACCGCCACAUGAUUUCUGUUCUCAUCCUGAAGCAAAGUUCUUAACCUGAGGUACUAUUUCUGGGUUAGCGGAGUCUGUAACCUGAAGCGUUUGUAACCCAAGGUACCACUGUACAUGUGCUAAUAUUUAACAGGAGUGAACUCCAAAGGGAAGGUGUCAGAACACCAGAGGCCUGAUUCCUAUAUUGUGUGGAAUGGCAAUAAGAUGGUGCCUGCAGGCGGUCCUCAGUGAACAAUCAGGUAUAGAAGGGGUGAGACACUCUAUUUCAGGUAUAGGAUUUGGCAGAAGCCAGGCACACCGCUGCCAGGACAGAUACAUCCCUGGAAAUCUCCCCUUCUCCAAGCUAACCACAUCCAACCCACAGAUGAAUCGCUUUUUCAUUGUUCUGCAGGCAAUGCAGUUCCACUGGCAGAGUAUUACACCAGCCAAACUCUGGCGAGAGGGCCCUCCAUCUAGCAUGCCAGUGACCUGCCUCAAGUUCUGCUGGCAUAACAGAGCUAUUACUGCUCUUGAAACCACCUCAGCCAGCAGAACUUGAGCAGAAGAUUGCGCCCUUGAUGAAGCAAAUAAUUUCUCAAAAUUAUGCUGCAUAUUUUGAAAGGGAAUGAUAUGGGGAUUUGAUAUGCUGCACUUUACCCAAUUGCACACACUCCCCCCCUAAUAAUAAAGCAGAGUCACAGUGGUACAAAUGCAAUCAAUCAGUUGCAAGUGUAAGAAAUGCAAUUAAUUACUUCAAUAAUAACCACCAAAUUUUUACUAAGUCUGCUGGGCUUCAUUUCCAGCUCUAUAAAUCACUAGGACAUCUCACACACAUGCUGAAUAAAAGAGAUUAAUCCAUUUUGAUAAAUGUGCUAAAAGCAGGCCCCCCAGUUUUAAACAACGAACGUGUCAAAGAAUUAGCAGGCUUUGGGAAACAACUGGGAUCCAUAAAUUUUUGUUCAGAUCUAUCUCUGCAAUCAGAGUUUUUACUUUCUCUAUUUCUCUCUCUUUUUUUUUAAAUAAUAUUUAUUAAUAAUUUCAGAAUUACAGAAAAAACAACACUACAAUACAU